AACGAACGCUGGCGGCAGGCCUAACACAUGCAAGUCGAGCGAGGACUUCGGUCCUAGCGGCGGACGGGUGAGUAACGCGUGGGAACGUGCCCUUUGCUUCGGAAUAGCCCUGGGAAACUGGGAGUAAUACCGGAUGAGCCCUUUGGGGGAAAGAUUUAUCGGCGAAGGAUCGGCCCGCGUUGGAUUAGGUAGUUGGUGGGGUAAUGGCCUACCAAGCCGACGAUCCAUAGCUGGUUUGAGAGGAUGAUCAGCCACACUGGGACUGAGACACGGCCCAGACUCCUACGGAAGGCAGCAGUGGGGAAUCUUAGACAAUGGGGGAAACCCUGAUCUAGCCAUGCCGCGUGAGCGAUGAAGGCCUUAGGGUUGUAAAGCUCUUUCAGCUGGGAAGGUAAUGACGGUACCAGCAGAAGAAGCCCCGGCUAACUCCGU
rnacentral:rRNA from 1 species